UACAGAGGUCUCAAGCGUUGUUCGGAUUCAUUGGGCGUAAAGGGUGCGUAGGCGGCGCGGUAAGUCGGGUGUGAAAUCUCGGAGCUUAACUCCGAAACUGCAUUCGAUACUGCCGUGCUUGAGGACUGGAGAGGAGACUGGAAUUUACGGUGUAGCGGUGAAAUGCGUAGAUAUCGUAAGGAAGACCAGUGGCGAAGGCGGGUCUCUGGACAGUUCCUGACGCUGAGACGCGAAAGCGUGGGGGAGCGAACAGG
rnacentral:rRNA from 1 species